UCCCGUCUCCCGCCCUCGACGAGCACGGUUCUUCUUCCCUACGCGUCCUUCUUCCGCCGCCACCGUCGCUCCCCCAUCUUUCUCGCUCGAUCUUAGUGAUUCGAUCUUUCGCCUCGCUCUCUCGCCCUCCGUCUCUUCACUCAAUGAUGGAGUAUAGAAGAAUCACAGAUCGGCUAACCACCGCAUGAUUCUCUUAUCGAAUUUAGUACGCUAAAUCUGAUUGACACCCUGCGAUAAGGGUUUUUGAGGCCCUCUGCUCUCCGAUUCCGGAAGUCCCCCUGGAGAGCUUCUUGACUGCUGAUCUUGAGGUGGUCACCAACUUAUAAUCGUUGCCAUUGAAGGGAGAGAUUUCCAGUUGUACAGUGGAUGGUGUCCAGGUUUAUUGUGAAUGCAUUUAGGUUGUUCUUUUGAGGCUGUAAUGACGAGCCUUGAUGGACCUUGUUGUAGUGAACUGGGGUAUGGAAUGGCAGCAGUAUGCUGUGGCUUAUCCAAAGGCCAGGAUUACAUCAUCGUGAUGAGCUGCUCCUGGGCGCCCUGGGAUACAAGGAUGAAGAAGAACACUGGGAAUCAAUACAAGAAUUGAAGGGAGCCUAAUGGUGGAGUUGGCGCAGCUCGAGAUCCAACCCUUAAUCACUUGGGUUAAACUCGGAUGCUCUGAUCACCCAGGUAUUUGACUGAGUAAUACUGCAGCGAAUUUAUCUGCUACUUCUUCUCUAACUACGGGUAUCUGCAUGAAUUUAGA